UAUAUACAUAUACAUGUGUAUUGAAAUUGCCAUUUCAAUAAUUACAAUGUAAUAAGGACAUUAUGAUAUUAGUUAUUUGUGAGAAAUAUCAUAUAUUUUCUAUCGUCUAAGUGUACUCCAGUGUACUCAAGUAAAGGAGUCUGUUAUAUGAAGUAUCCCUUUGUCGUCCUUGUGUUUGUGUUGCGGCGCAGCGAAGGGAAGGGAAAUGAAGGGCCGUGUUGUCCAGUUAUUUUUGGUUGAACCUCUUCAACAAUAAAGGUUUUACAACA